AUUGAACGCUGGCGGCAGGCCUAACACAUGCAAGUCGAACGGAGUGGCGAACGGGUGAGUAAUGUCUCGGAACGUGCCCAGUAGCGGGGGAUAACUACGCGAAAGCGUAGCUAAUACCGCAUACUAUUGGAGCGGCCGAUGUCGGAUUAGCUAGUUGGUGGGGUAACGGCCUACCAAGGCGACGAUCCGUAGCUGGUUUGAGAGGACGACCAGCCACACGGGGACGGAGACACGGCCCAGACUCCUACGGGAGGCAGCAGUGGGGAAUUUUGGACAAUGGGGGAAAGCCUGAUCCAGCCAUGCCGCGUGUGUGAAGAAGGUCUUCGGGUUGUAAAGCACUUUUGGCAGGAAAGCGGUACCUGCAGAAUAAGCACCGGCUAACUACGUGCCAGCAGCCGCGGUAAUAC
rnacentral:rRNA from 1 species